UACAGAGGGGGCAAGCGUUGUUCGGAAUUACUGGGCGUAAAGCGUGCGCAGGCGGUUUUGUAAGCCAGAUGUGAAAUCCCCGGGCUCAACCUGGGAAUGGCAUUUGGGACUGCAAGGCUUGAGUGCGGCAGAGGAGACUGGAAUUCCUGGUGUAGCAGUGAAAUGCGUAGAUAUCAGGAGGAAUACCGAUGGCGAAGGCAGGUCUCUGGGCUGACACUGACGCUCAUGCACGAAAGCGUGGGGAGCAAACAGG
rnacentral:rRNA from 1 species